rnacentral:rRNA from 1 species
UGGGGAAUAUUGCGCAAUGGGGGGAACCCUGACGCAGCCAUGCCGCGUGAAUGAAGAAGGCCUUAGGGUUGUAAAGUUCUUUCGGUAUUGAGGAAGGUUGAUGUGUUAAUAGCACAUCAAAUUGACGUUAAAUACAGAAGAAGCACCGGCUAACUCCGUGCCAGCAGCCGCGGUAAUACGGAGGGUGCGAGCGUUAAUCGGAAUAACUGGGCGUAAAGGGCACGCAGGCGGUUAUUUAGGUGAGGUGUGAAAGCCCCGGGCUUAACCUGGGAAUUGCAUUUCAGACUGGGUAACUAGAGUACUUUAGGGAGGGGUAGAAUUCCACGUGUAGCGGUGAAAUGCGUAGAGAUGUGGAGGAAUACCGAAGGCGAAGGCAGCCCCUUGGGAAUGUACUGACGCUCAUGUGCGAAAGCGUGGGGAGCAAACAGGAUUAGAUACCCUGGUAGUCCACGCUGUAAACGCUGUCGAUUUGGGGGUUGGGGUUUAACUCUGGCGCCCGUAGCUAACGUGAUAAAUCGACCGCCUGGGGAGUACGGCCGCAAGGUUA